GACGAACGCUGGCGGCGUGCUUAACACAUGCAAGUCGAACGGAAAGGCCCUGCUUUUGUGGGGUGCUCGAGUGGCGAACGGGUGAGUAACACGUGAGUAACCUGCCAUUGACUUUGGGAUAACUUCAGGAAACUGGGGCUAAUACCGGAUAGGAGCUCCUGCUGCAUGGUGGGGGUUGGAAAGUUUCGGCUGUUGGGGAUGGACUCGCGGCUUAUCAGCUUGUUGGUUGGGUAGUGGCUUACCAAGACUUUGACGGGUAGCAGGCCUGAGAGGGUGACCGGCCACAUUGGGGCUGAGAUGCGGCACAGACUACUACGGGAGGCAGCAGUGGGGAAUAUUGCACAAUGGGAUGAAGCAUGAUGCAGCCACGCAGCGUGCGGGAUGACGGCCUUCGGGUUGUAUACCGCUUUCGCCUGUGACGAAGUGUGAGUGACGGUAAUGGGUAAAGAAGCACCGGCUAACUCCGUG
rnacentral:rRNA from 1 species